UGUGACGAUAAAUUAUGUGUCGAUCUAAGCAAAAGAUGUAAUGGAUAUAGUGAUUGUUCUGACAAUUCUGAUGAAAUGAAUUGCAUUAACUGCACGGCUUCUGGCUGGAGAUGUAAUGAUGGAUUAUGCAUACAAGCAAAUGACAGGUGUAACGGGAAUAUUGACUGCAAUGAUGCAAGUGAUGAAGUGGAUUGCGGUGCAGAAGUUAAAACGACUAAAGACUUUUUACUAAUAACUUUGACAUCAACUACCAGAUAUAAUGAAAAUAAAAACA
rnacentral:sRNA from 1 species